rfam:Candidatus Entotheonella sp. TSY1 genomic scaffold TSY1_scaffold00042, whole genome shotgun sequence.
UCGGGGAUCGGCUAACGGCAAGCCGCCUGACUUUGAAUCAGGCGAUGAAGGUUCGACUCCUUCUCCCCGAG